rnacentral:lncRNA from 1 species
GAAAUCUUCCUGAAACUAUAUCCUCACCCUUAAAAGAAUUCAAAUUGAUUGGAAAUGUGUCUGCACAUACAUAAUUCAGAGUUAUAUGUGUGCUUACCCAAAAUUUUCUUUACAAAUUAUUGCAAGAAAUGUAAUCAUUAAAAAUUCGCAGCAAUUUUUGUGUAAUACCACUUAAAUAGCAUUUGGUCCAUUGCACCCUAAAUCUUACAUUUUGGAGUUUCAAUAUUAAUUUCAAUCUUAAUUUUCAUAAACCCAACACCAGCCAUCUAAUAUAUUUCCUGUUCAAAUACUUAUUCAUUCCUUCUGGCUUACUAAGGUUCCCUUUUGUGCUUUUAUGUUAAUUUGUUUCUCCCCUUUAGAGUGCCCAGCUUUUGCUCAAGCAGGCCCUGAGGCUGUAAAUUUCUCUCCCUACCCACGGAAUUCCUUCCUUUAAUACCCAUCUGAAGACCUUACUUCUAAUAAGAAAUUUUCCAUUAUUAAAUAAGUGACGUGCACAAAGUUUUUUUCAUCUCAUUUCCACAAUCCUGUUGUCACAUUACAAAUUUCCAUCAUCUGUAGCAUCUGGAAAUACCGAGUGGGAUAGAUAACAUGGCCUGGCUGCUGUUUGUUUUUUUUUUCAUCAGUGUGCUAGAUCUUCCUGGACACGCUGCACAAAUCUCACCUCAGUCUUAGUGCCACCGUGGACGCUGGAAGGAGCCAUUUUAAAAGGCAACCUUAAACAGUUCAGUCUAAUUUAAUAUUAGUGGCCUCCACACCUCUGACUCUUGUAUUAUUAGAAUUGCCUGUUUGGCUUUUAUUUUCCAGUGUGAACUGAUGAAACAGACACAAAGUGAAGUACCCGUUGGUUUCGCGGUCUCCACCUCGAGAGGAAAUCCAAAAGGAGUUUCUGGCAUGUGUGGUGUUGCUUAGCAAUUUACCCAAACAAACAUGUUUCCUCCUCAUUUUUUUCCCCAGUACUUAUUUACUCAAGAACAUUGUAAAAUCAAUUUUUACCACUUGACAUCUGAAAUCAUUAGAAGAAAAUCUGGUGUUUUGGGCUUUAUGAGAAGAACUGCUAACCACACAUGAAUGCAGUAUGCUGCUACCACAAAUUACGCAGUUGAGUUUCCCACAUUUGGAGAAAUCACAGGGAUCAGCAAGUCUUCAGUGGAAUAGAGAAGCCUUGCCCUAGGGAAAACUACCCUUGUGGUCAUGGUAUCUACCCUGCCUGGUGAAGAAGGUCCUUGCUUCCCCUUCUCCUUCCGCCAUGAUU